rfam:Salmo salar isolate Sally breed double haploid chromosome ssa21, whole genome shotgun sequence.
UGGCUCAGUUGGCAGGGCAUGGUGUUUGCAACGCCAGGGUUGUGGGUUCGAUUCCCAC